AUUGAACGCUGGCGGCAGGCCUAACACAUGCAAGUCGAGCGGAUGAAGGGAGCUUGCUCCUGGAUUCAGCGGCGGACGGGUGAGUAAUGCCUAGGAAUCUGCCUGGUAGUGGGGGAUAACGUCCGGAAACGGGCGCUAAUACCGCAUACGUCCUGAGGGAGAAAGUGGGGGAUCUUCGGACCUCACGCUAUCAGAUGAGCCUAGGUCGGAUUAGCUAGUUGGUGGGGUAAAGGCCUACCAAGGCGACGAUCCGUAACUGGUCUGAGAGGAUGAUCAGUCACACUGGAACUGAGACACGGUCCAGACUCCUACGGGAGGCAGCAGUGGGGAAUAUUGGACAAUGGGCGAAAGCCUGAUCCUGCCAUGCCGCGUGUGUGAAGAAGGUCUUCGGAUUGUAAAGCACUUUAAGUUGGGAGGAAGGGCAGUAAGUUAAUACCUUGCUGUUUUGACGUUACCAACAGAAUGAGCACCGGCUAACUUCGUG
rnacentral:rRNA from 1 species